rnacentral:lncRNA from 1 species
CUGUAACAACCUUUUUCAACCCUGAUUGAACCAGAAUUGCCAUCAUUCGAACUUGCCACAGAUUGAAAUUUGUCUCACCAUCGAACUUCUCAAUUUCAAACCUUGUUGUUGCCAUCUCUGAACGGGCUGAUCUAUGAAAAUUGAACUAGCUCUGAUACCACUUGUUAGGAUUUCGACCCGAUUAAGUAACGAACAAGAAAAUAGCGGAAUAAAUUGAGAAAUUGAACACACAAAUUUAACGUGGAAAAACCCCUCCAAAG